GUCCGCAACGAGCGCAACCCCGCCGUUAGUGCCAGCGGUUCGGCCGGGCACUCUAACGGGACUGCCCGCGAAAGCGGGAGGAAGGAGGGACGACGUCUGGUCAGCAUGGCCCUUACGGCCUGGGCGACACACGUGCUACAAUGCCCACUACAAAGCGAUGCCACCCGGCAACGGGGAGCUAAUCGCAAAAAGGUGGGCCCAGUUCGGAUUGGGGUCUGCAACCCGACCCCAUGAAGCCGGAAUCGCUAGUAAUCGCGGAUCAGCCAUGCCGCGGUGAAUACGUUCCCGGGCCUU
rnacentral:rRNA from 1 species